rnacentral:rRNA from 1 species
GAUGAACGCUGGCGGCGUGCCUAAUACAUGCAAGUCGAGCGAACAGAUAAGGAGCUUGCUCCUUUGACGUUAGCGGCGGACGGGUGAGUAACACGUGGAUAACCUACCUAUAAGACUGGGAUAACUUCGGGAAACCGGAGCUAAUACCGGAUAACAUAUUGAACCGCAUGGUUCAAUAGUGAAAGACGGCUUUGCUGUCACUUAUAGAUGGAUCCGCGCCGUAUUAGCUAGUUGGUAAGGUAACGGCUUACCAAGGCAACGAUACGUAGCCGACCUGAGAGGGUGAUCGGCCACACUGGAACUGAGACACGGUCCAGACUCCUACGGGAGGCAGCAGUAGGGAAUCUUCCGCAAUGGGCGAAAGCCUGACGGAGCAACGCCGCGUGAGGAAUGAAGGUCUUCGGAUCGUAAAACUCUGUUAUCAGGGAAGAAAAAAUUUGAAAGUAACAGGGCACAUCUUGACGGUACCUGAUCAGAAGGCAACGGCUAACUACGUG